CGCAUAGUCACCCUGAGGACAAUCUUGAAGCACAGCUGUUCCAUCUUCUGGAACAGGAACACGAAAAGGGGAGGAAGGGGGGGGGGGAUGACUCUUAACGAGCAGUGCUCGCUCUCUCUCCGUCCUCUUUCGGCCACUUGAGACCAGGGGAAACGCCGAGGAGGUGGAUAAGGUGGACGAGGCCAUGGAGGAAGAUGAAAGACGAGGAGGCUCCAGCCAAGCCACGAGGUCGCUGGAAGAUGACGAGGCUGAGGACGAGAGAGGGGAAAGAGAGAGGGAAGAAAUCGAGUUGCUGUCUCUUUGCUUUCAGUGCACCUCAUCAGUUUGCUUCGAAAGCAGCACAUCUCGUUGAGACUCACACUCUCCCACUCACAACACGAAGAAGAGCCAGAGACAACAAUAGUACAUGCAAACAGGAGCCGAGAACGACCACGAAUACGAGUGAAAAGCGAAAGAAAGAAACGGAUAGUCAGUCAGUCACGUCUCUCUCCUCAUCAACAAAUUCAAUCAGACUCGAGCGACAUAUCUCUCAUUGGAUCUAUUUGCUUCAGUGACCCUAAACAUAUCCUAAUUGUGCCACGCCAGAGCGAGCUCGUCAAACUCACACAUAUCGUGCCAAAGACUCGCCAAAAACGAGGCAGAAGAAGAGCACGGCAAAAUCACAGGCAGGGAAAAGUAUGUUCCCCAAAAAACGGAAUUAGUUUUGGGGACUCUGUGGACCGCUCAGUGAUUUGAUACAGAUGUUGACGCGAGAACGAGGCGAACACGUUGAAUGAACUCACCUUGUUCUUAACACUGCCGUUUAAUAACAUUGCCCAAAAGACCUCAAGAGAAGAACAUAAAAACUGGAAAAAAGUCUGGAUUUGAUCUCAAGAACAAGGCAAGCCCGCUAUAAUCCGUAUCAAAAACAACAGAUUCACCACCAUCACCACAAGUACCACUCCUACUACUAUUGCCACAAAGAUCAUCACCACCACCACCACCACUACCACCACAAUAUCCAGACAAAGCUACUUCACAUGAUACUACCACGGACAAAACCACUCUACCCGACAACACGCAAAGCCACAACUUGAACAGCCACUCCAACCAUCUAUCCAUCCACCCAAACCAGUUCCGUCUGGCGCUGAUAUAGUUCGGCACGCCUUUAACAACCCAAAUAUAUGCUCUCCGGCAUCAGCCCUGGUUCAUCCACAUAUCAGCACGAUCAUCAACUGGACCACGUUCCCGCUCUACACCCCUGCCACGAGCAGCCUGGUCCCUGCGGCGCCAUCUGUCUCAGAUAUGGCGCUCUACGCAGAGGCUUGCGGCCACGUGGCCAAAAGACCAAGGGUAGAUUAUCAGCCCUCGUUUCAACCGACGGCUCUGCAUCUCGCCGCUGCCGCUUCAACCGGUAGCAUGGCCGCAGCGUUGAACGCUUCGGGAGCAGUGCCGCACUCUGGCAUUUUGAGCCAGCAUUACAUUGAACAACAGCUCAAUCGGAAGCCGAUCGAGCCCGAGAAACCGAACCAUAUCCUCCUGUUCACGGUCCUCAACCCAACAUAUCCAAUCACAUGCGAGGUGCUUAACACCAUUUGCUCGCCCGUGGGUACCGUGCUACGCAUUGUCAUAUUCAAGAAGAACGGCGUUCAAGCCAUGGUCGAAUUUGACUCUAUUGACACAGCCAAACAGGCCAAAGAAAGCCUUCACGGCUGCGAUAUUUACUCUGGGUGUUGUACACUCAAAAUUGAGUAUGCUAAGCCCACCAAAUUGAACGUCUACAAGAACAAUGUCGAGAGUUGGGAUUAUACCAAUCCCAAUUUGGGUAAAGUACCAGCUGAGCCCAAACCCACACCUGCCCCCACUGUCAGCCAGAGACCUGUCCUUCUAAAGGAGCCCCUUGCAGCACCAGGGGCUACAGUUGGAGGCAAUAGUAUGAACAAUGGCCAAUCCGUGGCACCCGUGGUCACCUCAACUAAUCUGGUUAAUGGGAAUCUAUCAUUAGUCAGAGCAGUCACUGGUAGCGAGAGUUUUGAGAAUGGAUUCCCCACAACUCAUCAUUCGCCACCUCAUAUGACUUCUCCCAGUCAGCAGGCUCUUGCGGUAGCUGCUAAUGGACUGGAGACGCUAGCUGGUCAAGCAGCUGUGUCAGCUUUAGCCAGCCAAGCCACCGGUGCUUCCAUGAUCCGGGGGGCCGCCACUCUCCUCAACGGAAGGUCCACAGCUCCUUCGCCAGUUCCGGGGUCCUCGGUGUCUGUGGCACCCUCUUCGGGGAGUACAGCGGUCGGCGGUACCCCUUAUCAGCAUCACCAAGGAGCUGUUUGUAUGGUCUAUGGUCUCAACUCGGACAAGAUGAACGCUAGUAGGAUAUUCAACCUCUUUUGUUUGUAUGGUAACGUAGUGCGGAUCAAAUUCUUGAAAACCAAGGAGGGCUGCGCUAUGGUUCAAAUGGGCGACGGUUUAGCCGUGGAGCGUGUCGUGUCCAACUUGAACAAUAAUGCAUUCUUUGACACGAAAAUGCAAUUGGGCUUCUCGAAACAGGCAUUCCUGGCCGAUGUUCAAUCCCCUUACACUCUACCCGAUGGAUCUCCCAGCUUCCAAGACUUCAUGGGAAGCAAGAAUAAUCGCUUCAUCAACCCCGAGAUGGCUUCAAAGAAUCGUAUCCAACCCCCCUCUAAGAUCCUCCAUUUUUUCAACACUCCACCCGGACUCGAAGCCGAUGAUAUCGAAGAGAUCUUUACCAAGAGUGGCUCUCCCAAGCCCAAAUGUAUCAAAAUGUUCCCUUCCAAGACGGAACGCAGCUCGAGCGGUCUCAUUGAGUUCGAAACGCUUUCAGAAGCGCUGGAAGGGCUUGUCAUGUGCAACCACCACCCUGUUCCCAAUGCCAGCAGCAAGUUUCCGUACAUCAUGAAGUUGUGCUUUUCCAGCUCCAGGAGCAUCCCGGCCACCAUCCGAUGAACACAAGGACCCUCCGUCAUACAUUCAGUUGUGCAAUAUACUCAAAACUCGCCGAGGACACAGAAGCAGCUGCCAAGUAUGGAUCCAUGGUUGUAAGAGAAUUGGAGGCGUAUAUCCUCCUGCUUCUAAAUCUCCCGUCAAAAACAUUGGGUUGUGCGCUAAUUCACCCUCUCUAUGUCUUGUGAGGAUGCCAGGCAAUAAUAAAACAUGUCAGUCAAUGCUCAUCUUCAGGUUCAUUUUGUCGUCAGCUACUUCAUCCCCGAAGAACGUCAUCGAAAUGAGAAAGUAUCAACUGCAUCAAGUCUGUCGUAAUCAUCAGCCAUAUUGAUCGAUUGUCCGUUUCUCAAACGUUGGGAGAAGCUUAUUAUGAUUGAUCAAGUUUCCGUUGAAAUGAAUCAUCUUUAACAUUCAUCCCGUUGAUCAUCAAUAGUUCAGUUUGUAACGUUAUUAUUACCAUUAUUAUUAUUAUUAUCAUCAUCAUCAUCAUCAUCAUCAUCAUCAUCAUCAUCAUCAUUAUUACUAUUAUUGUGACAGUCACUCUGGAGAUAUUUUACUGAGACAGUUGUAGUGUUAUUUGUGUUCUUGUCAAAGAUUAGAACAUGUUAUUCUCGUAAUUAUUAUUAUCUUGAUGAUUAUUUGUAGCAUUACAAAACCAUUCUGAGUUUAUGAACCAGUUAUUUACUCUCUCCUAGACAAAAUGUGUUUUGUAUCUCAACACCCUAAAUAAUAUUCAUUCUCUUUUAUCUCUAUGAAAAGAAAACAAAUAAACCUUUCUUUAUAA